rnacentral:misc_RNA from 1 species
ACAGAUCUAGUACCGUAGUUGUUCCAAACAGAUUCCACGAUGAAAGGUGUUGCAGUGUUCCUCUUGGUUGUUUCCCUUAGCUUGGUACAAAGUUUCGAGGACGAUAAUGAAAAAUGCAGCGCUAAAUUCCCGAGCAUGAAGGGUAAAUGUCCCAAGGAACCGUGCACCAUGACAUCAUGUACCGAGGCUGGUGCUGUUUGCAAAAAUAACUACUGUGGUGGGUGCAAUGCAAAAUGGUUUACAAAUGGAGAGAUUUCCGAGGGUUGCUCAAAAUUUUUCUUGGAAAAGGAGUAAAAUGGACUGAAACACCAGGAAGACCGUUACCUACAUUUUUAAACAUGUGGACUUCGUUCUCGACGUGCAUGUUAUUGAAAUUAAUGAAAUUGAAUUUUGAAUUAAAGAAUUAGAAAAAUUCACAC